AUAAGUUACUUACAUCAGUAUCACAUAUAACACAUAGCUAGCCAGGUAACGAUGUAAGGUAGGUAUAAGUUACUUACAUCAGUGUCUAAACAACUGGCUUCUUCUUCAAGAAAAUAUUAUUUUAUUUGGUCGUUAAAAAUCACCUGAAUGACAUGCUCUGAACGCAUAAAUAAUAAAGCGACUUUCAUAUCUUUGAUAUUUUACGAGUUGAAAUGGAGAGGUAGACCAUUGUUCAUUUCACUGUCUACUAAACAUAUCUCUAUCUGUCUGUGAUACUGUUUUUUUUUUACAAUUGUGAAGUUUCAUAUUUGAUGCCAGAAGAUAUUCUAAUUUCAUUUUUGAUGAAAUAACAUCCAUACCCAAGAAGCUAGAAGUGAACACCCUGGCAUAAGAAUCUCACAAUUAUCUCUUUGUAGCUAGAUAUGAUAGGAUAAUGUUGGGGAGAAUGUGAUAGGGUAAUGUUGGGGAGAAUGUGAUAGGGUAACGUUGGGGAGAAUGUAUUAAGUGUAGAUGACAUACAUUGCUGCCAGUUGAUAUGAUUUAUACAUUCUGCUGUGACUAUUUACCUGCAUUAAUCUGCUGUAUAAGACUAUCAUUACCAGUAAAUAUUUUAUCUGUGAAAUCUCAAUACAACUGAUAGGAUUUGAAUUCACUCUACGUGGUUUCUUGGGUUGUAUGACAGGAUCCUUCACUCUACGUGGUUUCUUGGGUUGUAUGACAGGAUCCAUCACUCUACGUGGUUUCUUGGGUUGUAUGACAGGAUCCUUCACUCUACGUGGUUUCUUGGGUUGUAUGACAGGAUCCAUCACUCUACGUGGUUUCUUGGGUUGUAUGACAGGAUCCUUCACUCUACAUGGUUUCUUGGGUUGUAUGACAGGAUCCUUCACUCUACGUGGUUUCUUGGGUUGUAUGACAGGAUCCUUCACUCUACGUGGUUUCUUGGGUUGUAUGACAGGAUCCUUCACUCUACGUGGUUUCUUGGGUUGUAUGACAGGAUCCAUCACUCUACGUGGUUUCUUGGGUUGUAUGACAGGAUCCUUCACUCUACGUGGUUUCUUGGGUUGUAUGACAGGAUCCAUCACUCUACGUGGUUUCUUGGGUUGUAUGACAGGAUCCAUCACUCUACGUGGUUUCUUGGGUUGUAUGACAGGAUCCUUCACUCUACAUGGUUUCUUGGGUUGUAUGACAGGAUCCUUCACUCUACGUGGUUUCUUGGGUUAUAUGACAGGAUCCUUCACUCUACGUGGUUUCUUGGGUUAUAUGACAGGAUCCUUCACUCUACGUGGUUUCUUGGGUUGUAUGACAGGAUCCUUCACUCUACGUGGUUUGUUGGGUUGUAUGACAGGAUCCUUCACUCUACGUGGUUUGUUGGGUUGUAUGACAGGAUCCUUCACUCUACAUGGUUUGUUGGGUUGUAUGACAGGAUCCUUCACUCUACAUGGUUUCUUGGGUUGUAUGACAGGAUCCUUCACUCUACGUGGUUUCUUGGGUUGUAUGACAGGAUCCUUCACUCUACGUGGUUUCUUGGGUUGUAUGACAGGAUCCAUCACUCUACGUGGUUUGUUGGGUUGUAUGACAGGAUCCAUCACUCUACGUGGUUUCUUGGGUUGUAUGACAGGAUCCUUCACUCUACAUGGUUUGUUGGGUUGUAUGACAGGAUCCAUCACUCUACGUGGUUUCUUGGGUUGUAUGACAGGAUCCUUCACUCUACGUGGUUUCUUGGGUUGUAUGACAGGAUCCAUCACUCUACGUGGUUUGUUGGGUUGUAUGACAGGAUCCAUCACUCUACGUGGUUUCUUGGGUUGUAUGACAGGAUCCUUCACUCUACGUGGUUUCUUGGGUUGUAUGACAGGAUCCAUCACUCUACGUGGUUUCUUGGGUUGUAUGACAGGAUCCAUCACUCUACGUGGUUUCUUGGGUUGUAUGACAGGAUCCAUCACUCUACGUGGUUUGUUGGGUUGUAUGACAGGAUCCUUCACUCUACGUGGUUUCUUGGGUUGUAUGACAGGAUCCUUCACUCUACGUGGUUUCUUGGGUUAUAUGACAGGAUCCUUCACUCUACGUGGUUUCUUGGGUUGUAUGACAGGAUCCUUCACUCUACGUGGUUUCUUGGGUUGUAUGACAGGAUCCUUCACUCUACGUGGUUUCUUGGGUUAUAUGACAGGAUCCGUGAGAUAUUAUAGUUUACAGUGCUGUAAUCUACUCAUUCAAAUGGCAUUGCACAAUUUGUUGGAAAAAUAUUUCAUAAAAUUUUCUUUGCUGAUUUUGUAUAAUAAUAUGAUAAGUUUAUUGUCGAGGAAAAGGUUCAGUAGUAUCCAUCCUAUACCAUCAGCAUGAUGGUGUCAACUAUAGAGUCAGUAGAAUAACAAUAUGUCUGCCAUUGGUGAAUUGCUAGAUGUAAUGAACAAUUCACACAAUUGAGGCAUAUAUGUCACAUAAAAGUGAAAAGACUGAAAGAGUCCAAAUUGAUAUCAAUAAUUCUCAUUUUCUGUUAGGUCUUUAUUGACCACUGUGUGUUAGUGUCCAGCAGAAUGAGUAUGUUGUGGUGUUCCACUUGACCAGGUGCCCUAUGGUGAGGUUACAACAUAAUCACUUUAUUGUUGGACAUCCUAGAGGUCACAGAUGUUAUCUGGUCCAGGACUGGCUUAAGGUCACAGCAAGCACUGUAAUUAGAUGACCAGUCAUUUAUAAUAGAAAAGUGACCCUGGUCAUUUACAGAAGAAUUUGUAUAGGGACUGGGCCAUGCUGUUGUGAUGGAGUGAUUGUCCACCACUGACAUUAUGUGGUCACUGUAGUGAUACUGUCAUUUAGAUGAUGACCACUUUUCAGCUGAGUCUAUAGAGAGGAGUGAUGGGCCAGACUAUGAUAGGUCUAAUCUCACUGGUGUUGUAGCUUGUUAGUACGGUGACAGGACAUAAUAGCCCUACCUAUAACUGGUCAGUGGCCAUUUCAGGUGUCCUGUGACACUGACCACAGAAACAUUAGCAUGGCCCUUCUUUUUACUCAGACAUGUGUUUUCUGUGGCGUUAAAUUUGUAAUGGCCAUAAAAUCACUUUGUGGCUGUGUUAGAUAUGUACUUCAUUGUACAUUCCAUUAUAGUCAGACAUAAUGUAGAGAAUCUGGCAUGACCUUUCCUCAAGGUCAAGGUUUCCAUCAUAAUCUUGUAGUGGAUACUAAGUGAUAUAAUCUGUUAUUUGACUUUAGGUUGAAAUUCUUACAUAGGUUUCCCAUUCAAAGAAGACUUAUGAAAGUCUCAAAUAGGUUGGCUCCGAGAUCUAAUUGUGAUAUCAAAAUACAAUACAUGCAUUAUUUGGAGAUCUUACCUCCAUCCCACCCAAAAAAUACUUUAUCUGAAAGGGUAUGUUUUCCUUUAAAAACUAUGUUUCAACUCUUUACCACAGCUUUGUAACCCUGUUGAUUUGGAAAUGUCUGCAGUCAUGCUUACUUGUUUUACUAUAUUGCUGUUGAAUGUUAGUAUCAUUGUGUGAAUCCAUAACACAGGAAGACAGGUAUCUUGUAACUAAAUUCAAUUCUAAUUCAUUGUAUAACAUAUCUGCAUUUCAAAUAAUCUACAAUGUAAAUUACACAUCCCUUGACGCCAGCGAUGUUGUUGCCUCUCGGCCAGCCUGAAUGAUUAGCCUAAUUUAGAUGUGGUGAUUACGAGAGGCCACCUGUCCUUGGAUGACUAGGAACUGAUCACUGAUGUGGAUGACUAGGAACUGAUCACUGAUGUGUAUUAGUACGUGAUAUUGGUCACUUGCUCCAUGUAACUUCAUUAAUACACAAUUGAUAAACACACUUCCAUAGCUUUAAUCACCAGCAUUGUCACGACUUUGUCCUGCCAAUUAGGAUCCUCUAGAGGUCUCUGAGGUCAGACCUGACUGGCCAGGGAUGGUCAGCUGUACCAAUGACCCUAUCAAUAAUAAGAUGCUUGAUUCAUUGUCUGGGUAGAUGACAGACUGGUCAUUGGAAGUUAUAAAUGUGACAGUUUGAUACGGGAUAAACCACUUCAGUACAGUAGUUCUGGUGUAGUGGUUAAUAAUCCUGAUCUGGAACUCCUUCAGACCUUCAUCAACAGCUUAUGAGUCAACCAAAGAUUUUUGCCCUCUUUCUAUAUAGGUCUGGAAUUUUCUAAGCACUGUAUUUAUUGUGCAUAACAUCUCAACAUUUCUGAUAAAGUUGGGAGAUUUACAGAGCAGUUACAAUGCAGCCAAGCGAGCGGUGGACGCCUUCCCUGACCAUGUUGACUCCAAAGAACUCCUCAAACAGCUUAAACAUCAUUUUUCACUUCU